UACGUAGGGGGCAAGCGUUGUCCGGAAUUAUUGGGCGUAAAGAGCGUGUAGGCGGUCCGGUAAGUCAGCUGUGAAAGUCAAGGGCUCAACCCUUGAAUGCCGGUUGAUACUGUCGGGCUAGAGUCCGGAAGAGGCGAGUGGAAUUCCCGGUGUAGCGGUGAAAUGCGCAGAUAUCGGGAGGAACACCAAUGGCGAGGGCAGCUCGCUGGGACGGUACUGACGCUGAGACGCGAAAGCGUGGGGAGCAAACAGG
rnacentral:rRNA from 1 species